UGGCCCUAGAGAAGGGAGCAGGGAGUCAAGAGAAUGCACAGAGGAGUCAUGUGGGGAGAAGGGCCAAGAGGACACAGAGAGGGACCUGGGCACAGGGCCCGUGAGUGGCCCCCACUGAGCAGGACCCCAAGACUGGCUGCUGGAGGCCUGAAGCAGAGCAGUAGGCACCCGGGCCCCACAGGUUUCAAGGAUGAUGGUGAUGGGAGAGACACCUGGCCACGUGUCUGUCUGUCACUCACCUUCUCUCCUUUGGCUCCAGCAUCGCCCCGGAGACCAGGCAGCCCUGGGGGUCCCUGUGGAGAGAUGGGAAGUCACUCGUUCAAGCCCAGCCCUUCCCUGCUGUGACUCACCACUGAGCCUGGGAGGCCUCUCAGACCAUCAGGACCAGGUUUCCCUGCUGGGCCUGCAGGACCCACCAGGCCUGUCUUCCCUGGGGCACCUACAGCACCGGGAUCCCCCUGAAACACAAAAGGCGAGCCAGCAGGACCCUGCAGAUGGAGUGGAAAGGAAGAGCACAUGAGGCUGUGGGCAGCCAGGCUCAACUCUUCCACCUUCCUGUCCUAGACACACACACGCACACACAUGUGCAUACAUAGGCACACACAGAGGACUGAUUCACAGACGUGCAGAACAGAUCCAGCUGUGACAGUUGUGAAAAUACUGGGUAGUCUGUACCUGUGGUGAAGAGCCACUUGCCCACACCCUACCUUGUGGCCCAUCUCCUGCCCCAGCAAGUAAACAGGUUCACCCCUGGCCCACAGACAUGCUGGCCAGCACCCUCCUCCAGUUUCCAUUCUGCUUGUCAAUAACCAUCAAUACCCCUGGAGAGGACAUGCACACCAGAACCCAGGAACAAACAUGCCCAAGGUACUGCACACUCACCAACCCACCAGCUCCUGCACACACACCACACCCAGGGCCACGCAAACACCAGGCAUCUCCCCACCCAGUCCACCUUCCAUUGCCCAGCCUCCAUCCACACAGCCCAGGCACUGCCUCCGAGGUCUCAGGGAUCCACCUCACUUACCCGCUUUCCAAGUGGCCCAGGGGGUCCAUUCUCUCCAGUGGGACCAGGGGAUCCCUAGGGAGAGAGGAAUUGGGGUAGCUGAGUGUUUAGCCUCCAACCAAGGGAUUCCUCAGGAGUGGGGCACAGAAGGGGAUGAAGCUUGGGCUUGGGGGGUGGUGGGGUCACUGGUCACUCACAGGCUGUCCUGGCUCACCAUCCUCGCCUCGAUCACCCUUAGCACCAUCCUGGCCCUGCAGGGGUGAGGCAAGGUCAAAGGUAGGCCCCCAACCUGGCUGGCAUCACCUCCAAAACUGUCAAUCCUCCCAUCCCUGGUGUGUGCCUGUAAUCCCAGCUACUCGGGAGGCUGAGGCAGAAUCAGUUGAAUCCUGGAGGCAGAGGUUGUAACAAGCCAGAUCGUGCCACUGCACUCCAGCCUGGGUAACAGUGCAAGACUCCAUCUCAGAAAAAAAAAAAAAUGCCUUCAUCCCCUUGCCCACCCUGCCAUACCUCCAACUUUCUAACACUCAAGCCCAGUGCCCAUACAGAGGCCCCCAUAGAAGCCCCACCCUUUUUGCCCCUUCUCUUGAGUAACACUCACCCGAGGACCACUUUCUCCAGGAGGGCCAGGGUCACCAGGAAAACCAACGGGACCCUGAUUCAGAGGGAGAACAAGAGUCAGGGUCACAGCUCCCUUAGCCCAGCACAGACUCCCACGGGCACAGGAGGAGGUCUCCUGCAGCCCUUUUCCACCUCAUGUACUGC